UACGUAGGGGGCAAGCGUUGUCCGGAUUUAUUGGGCGUAAAGAGCGUGUAGGCGGCCAGGGAGGUCCGUUGUGAAAACUCGAGGCUCAACCUCGAGACGCCGAUGGAAACCCCCUGGCUAGAGUCCGGAAGAGGAGAGUGGAAUUCCUGGUGUAGCGGUGAAAUGCGCAGAUAUCAGGAAGAACACCCGUGGCUAAGGCGGCUCUCUAGUACGGUACUGACGCUGUAGCGCGAAAGCGUGGGGAGCGAACCGG
rnacentral:rRNA from 1 species